AAACAUGGCUCUUUGAAACUUUUUUAUAGAGAGUCGAACCUGCCCAGUGAUGUAAUAUAUUUAACGGCCGCAGUACCCUGACUGUGCAAAGGUAGCAUAAUCAUUUGCCCUAUAAUUGAGGGCUAGUAUGAAUGGUUUGACAAGAACAUAGCUGUCUCUUACAAAAUAAAUAUAAAUUAAAUUUUAGGUGAAGAUGCCUAAAUAUAACUAAAAGACGAGAAGACCCUGUUGAGCUUUAAAAAUUUACAGGACUAUUACCUUAAAAUUUUUUUGGUUGGGGCGACCUAAGAACAUAUGAAGCUUCUUUUAUUAAAAAAGGUACUUAACAAUGAUCCAGUAUAACUGAUUAAUUAAAUAAGCUACCACAGGGAUAACAGCGUAAUUUUCUUUAAGAGUUCAUAUCAAAAAGAAAGUUUGCGACCUCGAUGUUGGACUAAAAUAUCCUAAAGGUGCAGAUGUCUUUAAGGGUUGGUCUGUUCGACCAUUAAAAUUUUA
rnacentral:rRNA from 1 species